rnacentral:rRNA from 1 species
GAUGAACGCUGGCGGCGUGCCUAAUACAUGCAAGUCGAGCGAACGGACGAGAAGCUUGCUUCUCUGAUGUUAGCGGCGGACGGGUGAGUAACACGUGGAUAACCUACCUAUAAGACUGGGAUAACUUCGGGAAACCGGAGCUAAUACCGGAUGAUAUUUUGAACCGCAUGGUUCAAAAGUGAAAGACGGUCUUGCUGUCACUUAUAGAUGGAUCCGCGCUGCAUUAGCUAGUUGGUAAGGUAACGGCUUACCAAGGCAACGAUGCAUAGCCGACCUGAGAGGGUGAUCGGCCACACUGGAACGGAGACACGGUCCAGACUCCUACGGGAGGCAGCAGUAGGGAAUCGUCCGCAAUGGGCGAAAGCCUGACGGAGCAACGCCGCGUGAGUGAUGAAGGUCUUCGGAUCGUAAAACUCUGUUAUUAGGGAAGAACAUAUGUGUAAGUAACUGUGCACAUCUUGACGGUACCUAAUCAGAAAGCCACGGCUAACUACGUG